rnacentral:ribozyme from 1 species
UGCCGAGAAGGCCUCUUCCGUUGUGAAGUUGAAAUCGUUCGCCCCCUAUGGAAGUACCACUGAGGCUGUGGUUGCCGCCACUAGCAUCAUUGAGAGUACAUUGGAUAAGGGAUUGAAAAAGUUCUUGAAGAAACACAUUAAAG